GACGAACGCUGGCGGCGUGCCUAAUACAUGCAAGUCGAACGCAGUGGGGACGGGUGAGUAACACGUGGGUAACCUCCCAUCAGAGGGGAUAACACUUGGAAACAGGUGCUAAAACCGAUACUGAUGGAUGGACUCGCGGUGCAUUAGAUAGUUGGUGAGGUAACGACUCACCAAGGCUACGAUGCAUAGCUGGCCUGAGAGGGUGAUCGGCCACACUGGCACUGAGACACGGUCCAGACGCCUACGGGAGGCAGCAGUGGGGAAUCAUGGGAAAUGGAGGAAAGCCUGAUCGAUCCACGCCGCGUGAGGGAAGAAGGUCUUCGGAUCGUAAAUCUCUGUCGUGUGAGAUGCGGAAUCUACCCAGAAAGCCCCGGCUAACUUCGUGCCAGCAGCCGCGGUAAUAC
rnacentral:rRNA from 1 species